GGUCAAGCUACAAAGAGCUUAUGACGGAUGACUUGGCACGGGAAGGCGAUUAAGGACGUGGUAAGCAGCGAUAUGCUUCGGGGAACCGCAAACAGGUUUUGAUCCGGAGAUUUCCGAAUGGGGCAACCCAAUCAGAGUAAUGUCUGAUUAUCCGCUUCGGCGGAGGCGAAACCAGGUGAAUUGAACCAUCUUAGUAGCCUGAGGAAGAGAAACCGAUAGGUAUUCCCUUAGUAGUGGCGAACGAAACGGGAAGAGCCCAAAACUUACGAAUGCAGAAGCCUGUACGCGUUGUUCGUAAGUUGUAGUGGGGAGAAUCUGGAGCAAUGUGCAGAUUGCUCGGCUUUUUUUACUGUAUAUUUGAAUAAUCUGGAAAGGUUAACCAUAGAGGGUGAUAGUCCUGUAAAUUAAAUACUAGUAAAGAAGCUGGGAUUUUUUCCCAAGUACCACGAGACACGUGGAACCUCGUGGGAAUCUGCCUGGACCAUCAGGCAAGGCUAAAUACUAAUCCGUGACCGAUAGCGCACAAGUAAUGUGAAUGAAAGUUGAAAAGAACCCCGGUGAGGGGAGUGAAAUAGUACCUGAAAUCAUAAGCUUACAAGAAGUAGGAGGCCUAUGCUCUGAUUUAGUCAGAGAAUGGCUGACUGCGUGCCUUUUGAUUAAUGAACCGGCGAGAAACUCUAUUUAGCAAGGUUAAUCUGUAUCUGCAGAGGAGCCGUAGCGAAAGCGAGUCUGAACAGGGCGAUUAGUUGAAUAGAGUGGACCCGAAACCAAGUGAUCUACCCAUGGACAGGGUGAAGUACGGGUAACACCGUGCGGAGGCCCGAACCCGUUAAUCUUGAAAAGUUAUGGGAUGAGCUGUGGGUAGGGGUGAAAGGCUAAUCAAACUUGGAGAUAGCUGGUUCUCCCCGAAAUAGCUUUAGGGCUAGCUUUAUAGUAGAUGGCAAUAGGGGUAGAGUACUGAAUGGGCUAGGGGACUCACCAGUUUACUGAACCCAAUCAAACUCCGAAUACUAUUGUACCAUGCUAUAAAAGUCAGACAGUAGGCGCUAAGGUCUGUUGUCAAAAGGGAAACAGCCCAGACCAUCAGCUAAGGUCCCCAAAUAUAGGCUAAGUGGUAAAGGAAGUGGAGUCAUUUAGACAACCAGGAUGUUGGCUUAGAAGCAGCCAUCAUUUAAAGAAAGCGUAAUAGCUCACUGGUCAAUGUGAUUCCGCGCCGAAAAUGAUCGGGGCUCAAGCCUAUUACCGAAGCUGUGGAAUAUAUAAUUCUUCGGAAAUAUAUAUUGGUAGGGGAGCGUUCUAUGGUAGUGUGAAGGAUGACCGUAAGGACAUCUGGACGAAAUGGAAGUGAUUAUGCCGGUAUGAGUAGCGAACAAAUCCGUGGAAAACGGAUUCGCCGAAUGUCGAAGGUUUCCUGAGGAAGGUUAAUCCUCUCAGGGUUAGUCGGUCCUAAGCUGAGGCUGAAAAGCGUAGGCGAUGGCCAUCCGGUUCAAUAUUCCGGAACCACCUUGAUAGUGUUACGAGUGCAGGAUGACGUAGAAAGCUAAGUCAUCGCGCGUUUGGAUGAGCGCGUCUAAGUCUGUAGUCCGCCUUUGGCGGAUAAGGGGCAAAUGGGAGUCCAAUCUACGGAGAGGAUGAACUGACUGACGCUAUGCUACCCAGAAAAACUCCUGUAACCAAUUGUCAGGGUGACCGUACCUAAACCAACACAGGUAGACAGGCAGAAUAUGCCAAGGCGCUCGAACUAACUCUCGUUAAGGAACUCGGCAAAUUAGCCCCGUAACUUUGGAAUAAGGGGUGCCUUUUCGCGUGAAGUUUUUUCAAAUGGAGCGCGAGAGGGUAACAUUGAAGAGCCCCAUACGACUGUUUAGCAAAAACACAUCUCUCUGCUAACUCGUAAGAGGAAGUAUAGGGAGUGACACCUGCCCGGUGCUGGAAGGUCAACAACUUCGGUGACUUUGCCGUAAGGCAGAUGAGCUGCGGUUCGAAGCCCCAGUAAACGGCGGCCGUAACUAUAACGGUCCUAAGGUAGCGAAAUUCCUUGUCGGGUAAGUUCCGACCCGCACGAAUGGUGUAACGAUAUGGGGACUGUCUCAACGAGGGGUUCGGUGAAAUUUAAGUGUCGGUGAAGAUACCGGUUUCCCGCAGCGGGACGAAAAGACCCCGGAACCUUUACUGUACGUUGGUAUUGAAUUUUGACUCCGCAUGUGUAGGAUAGGUGGGAGGCUUUGAAGCGAGGGCGUUAGCUUUCGUGGAGCCAACGGUGAAAUACCACCCUUGUUGCGUUAAGAUUCUAACCUGACUAUUUGAAUCAAUAGCAGGGACCGUGCCAGCCGGGCAGUUUGACUGGGGCGGUUUCCUCCUAAAGAGUAACGGAGGAGUUCAAAGGUUCCCUCAGCGCGGUCGGCAAUCGCGCGACGAGUGUAAAGGCAUAAGGGAGCUUGACUGCAAGACGUACAUGUCGAGCAGGUACGAAAGUAGGACUUAGUGAUCCGGCGAUACCGUAUGGAAGGGUCGUCGCUCAACGGAUAAAAGGUACUCCGGGGAUAACAGGCUUAUCUCACCCAAGAGUUCAUAUCGACGGUGAGGUUUGGCACCUCGAUGUCGGCUCAUCACAUCCUGGGGCUGGAGAAGGUCCCAAGGGUCCGGCUGUUCGCCGGUUAAAGUGGUACGUGAGCUGGGUUCAGAACGUCGCAAGACAGUUCGGUCUCUCUCUGCUGUGGGCGUAGGAUAUUUGAGGAGAGCAAUCCCUAGUACGAGAGGACCGGGGUUGUUGGAUCUCUGGUGUUCCAGCUGUUCUGCCAAGAGCAUUAGCUGGGUAGCUACAUCCAGAAAGGAUAAGCGCUGAAAGCAUCUAAGCGCCAAGCCUACUCCAAGAAUAGAUAUCCCAAUUAGGCACCUUGUAGACUACGAGGUUGAUAGGUUUCAAGUGUAAGAUCCGUAAGGAUUUCAGCUUAGAAAUACUAAUCUGCCGAUUGGCUUGGCCUU
rfam:Candidatus Omnitrophus sp. SKK-01 SAG1567, whole genome shotgun sequence.